UACGGGGGGGGCAAGCGUUGUUCGGAAUUAUUGGGCGUAAAGGGCGCGUAGGCGGCCUGGCAAGUGGAAGGUGAAAUCCCUCGGCUUAACCGAGGAACUGCCUCCCAAACUGCUUGGCUUGAGACCGGGAGAGGUGAGUGGAAUUCCCAGUGUAGCGGUGAAAUGCGUAGAUAUUGGGAGGAACACCAGUGGCGAAGGCGGCUCACUGGACCGGUACUGACGCUGAUGCGCGAAAGCGUGGGGAGCAAACGGG
rnacentral:rRNA from 1 species